rnacentral:miRNA from 1 species
GCCCUUUUACUGCUGUACUACU